rnacentral:tRNA from 1 species
GAGGGUAUAGCUCAAGUACAGAGCACAUGCUUAGCAUUCAGGAGGUCCUGGGUUCAAUCCCCAGUACCUCCU